rnacentral:misc_RNA from 1 species
AACGCACAUUGCGCCCUCUGGUAUUCCGGAGGGCAUGCCUGUUCGAGCGUCAUUACAACCCUCAAGCUUUGCUUGGUAUUGGGCCUCGGGCGUCAGCCCGUGCCUUAAAAUCAGUGGCGGUGCCACCUGGCUCUGAGCGUAGUAAAUCUCUCGCUAUAGAUGUCUGGUGGAUGCUUGCCAUAACCCCUAAUUUUUUUAUGGUUGACCUCGGAUCAGGUAGGGAUACCCGCUGAACUUAA